GCCCGUUUAGCUCAGUCGUAGAGCGCGCCACUCGUAUCAUCUUCUGCGCUAUGGUGAGGUCGGUUGUUCAAUCCAGCCAACGGGCA